GAGAAAGCUUGCUUUCUUGCUGACGAGUGGCGGACGGGUGAGUAAUGCUUGGGAAUCUGGCUUAUGGAGGGGGAUAACGACGGGAAACUGUCGCUAAUACCGCGUAGUGUCGAGAGACGAAAGUGCGGGACUGAGAGGCCGCAUGCCAUAGGAUGAGCCCAAGUGGGAUUAGGUAGUUGGUGGGGUAAAGGCCUACCAAGCCUGCGAUCUCUAGCUGGUCUGAGAGGAUGACCAGCCACACUGGAACUGAGACACGGUCCAGACUCCUACGGGAGGCAGCAGUGGGGAAUAUUGCGCAAUGGGGGGAACCCUGACGCAGCCAUGCCGCGUGAAUGAAGAAGGCCUUCGGGUUGUAAAGUUCUUUCGGUAUUGAGGAAGGUUGAUGUGUUAAUAGCACAUCAAAUUGACGUUAAAUACAGAAGAAGCACCGGCUAACUCCGUGCCAGCAGCCGCGGUAAUACGGAGGGUGCGAGCGUUAAUCGGAAUAACUGGGCGUAAAGGGCACGCAGGCGGUUAUUUAAGUGAGGUGUGAAAGCCCCGGGCUUAACCUGGGAAUUGCAUUUCAGACUGGGUAACUAGAGUACUUUAGGGAGGGGUAGAAUUCCACGUGUAGCGGUGAAAUGCGUAGAGAUGUGGAGGAAUACCGAAGGCGAAGGCAGCCCCUUGGGAAUGUACUGACGCUCAUGUGCGAAAGCGUGGGGAGCAAACAGGAUUAG
rnacentral:rRNA from 1 species